AUGGAACCUCUUGUUGGAUAUUCACCAGAUAAAAGUCAGUAUAUGGUUCUUAUGGGCGGUUUAAGAAAAUACAUUCCAAUCACAAGAACUACUUUUUUAUGGACACUUUCUCUUUGUGGUAUUCCACCUCUUGCUUGCUUCUGGUCCAAAGAUGAAAUCCUUAGUAAUAAUUGAUUGUAUUCGCCCUUUUUUGGAAUAAUAGCCUCCUUUACUGCAGUAUUAACUGCAUAUAUUCAUACUUAA
rnacentral:rRNA from 1 species